rnacentral:rRNA from 1 species
UAAUAGUUUGUGUUUUGAUUGGAUAAUGGGAUGAAAGGUUUAAUAUUAAAUUUCUUUAUAAAAAAAAAAACAAAUUUGUAUUUAAGGUGAAAAUAUUUUAAUAAAAUAAGGGGACGAUAAGACCCUAAAAGCUUUAUAUAUUAAUUUAUAUAAAACUUAGAAUAAAUUUUUAUAUUUAACUGGGGAAGUUAAAACAAUUUGUUUGUUAUGAAUCUAAACUUUUUACUGAGAUAAUAGUAUAUUUGAUAUAUUUAUAAUAAAAACUAGGAAAGUUACUUUAGGGAUAACAGCAUAAUAUUUUUUAAGAGAUCUUAUCGAAGAUAGAGAUUGUGACCUCGAUGUUGAAUUAAAAUUUCUACUGUGAGUAGAUAAACGGGGAAAAGAAGGUUUGUUCAACCUUUAAAUUUUUACAUGAUUU